GAUGUAUUUUCUUUAUUUAUUUUUAUUUAAGGAUGCGUGCAUUGCUGCUUUGAUCCAUAGAUCUGAGACCUUUUGGUCCGAAAAAAGGGAAGAAUGUGACGUUCCAUUCAAUUUGAUCACUGCUCCUUGAGCUAUAACAACAUCAUUAUUGUCCCAUCUGAAGCAACUCAACACAGUCGCAGCAACCAGCAAGAAACGAUCCAGACACCAUCAUGUCCUUCCCACGGAGCCGUGCGCGGCCUUCAUGAUUCUGCGUGAAUGAAUGCGUUUAACCGCAGGGGUCACGUCCCGGCCGGGUGGAUGGAUGGAGGGCUCGAGUUUAACCUGUCACUUCGAGUGCAAAUUGCAGCGCACGCACCACCCAUGGCCUGAUUUGGCAAGUACCAUGGGCCUCGAGCUCGUCCGGACCGUCGAAAUUUGGGGGCCUCCGAAAGGUGAUUUCCGUGGAUGGAAUGUAUGAGCUCACUUGUGCGUUGCUCUGCUCCGGCAAGCCGUGGUGCCGGUGCCCUACUCUAGAGCAAAAAAUAACGAUUUACUAGAUCAUGGGUGCCGCCGUGCCGGUACUGUUAAAGAUUGGAUAGGCGUGAUUAUUAGUCUUUAGGAGGAGAUCGUGCUUGGGUGCUGCUGAUAUAGGAAGGUGGCACUUUCUGCCUCCCCUAGAUCGGCGACUCCGGUGGUGCCUGGGAAUGGCUGGUCGUGCAUGGGACCAGGAAUGUGAUGCCUUUUUGCUGCUCCUUCGAUGCUCAAGACUAGAAUUUCAAUCAAAUCAAACGUCGAUAAUAUUCUUUUCACGACAAGUUAUUCGAGUAUAUACAUAAGAAACACUCAUGAGGACCGGCUUGUUUCAUGUGUUCACGUGUUCUAGCUCUCAUGGACAGUAUCCAAAUAUCGCUUAUCCAAAGACCCUUUAUUUAGAAUAGACCACAUAUUUUCUUAUGAACAAGGCAUAUUGUUUAUCCGCUUAAAUACAUUUUCCAGCGUCGUUAAGGAUUUUUUUUUAUAAAUCCGCAAAAAAAAAAAAACAGCAUAAACUUUACGACUACUAUCAGAUAAGGGAAUACCUGAACCACCGAACACGUACCGACGAAAUACAAGGCUUCACCCAUGGAUUAUUAUGUGCUCCAUCAGCGAUUCAGCGCGGCAAAGUUUUCGCUGAUGACUGUUCGCUCAGUGGCAUCACUGGCGCGACUUGUAAAGGCAGGCAGCCGGGCACAAUGAUUUCCGCUUCUUCCAUCACCCAGUUGCUCUCCAGAAACAGAAACACCCUAUACAUAGCCAGCCGCGGUGAGCACAUUAGCACACGGAGAGAAAGAAACCAGAGGAGGACGUGCAGCCAUGUCCCUGCUGCUCAUGAUCUUGCUUUCCUCGACGGCGGCGCGGGCCGACGCGAAUCCAGGCAAGAUCGGGAGGAGUCAGUUCCCCAGGGACUUCCUCUUCGGCACGGCCUCUUCGGCGUACCAGAAAAGAUAGCAAAUGGAAGCAAUGGAGAUGUAGCAAUAGACUCCUACCACCGGUACAAGGACGAUGUCAACAUCAUGAAGGAUUUGGGCUUUAAUGCCUAUAGAUUUUCUCUUUCUUGGUCACGUAUUCUGCCUAGUGGGAAAUUGAGUGGAGGGGUCAACAUGGAAGGAAUCAAUUACUACAACAAUCUCAUCGAUAAACUCAUUUCGGAAGGUAUUGAACCAUUUGUGACCCUUUUUCACUGGGACUCCCCGCAAGUAUUAGAACAGCAGUAUGGUGGCUUCUUAAGCCAGCUUAUUGUGGAAGAUUUCAAGGACUAUGCCAGCAUCUGCUUCAGGGAGUUUGGUGACAGGGUAAAGUACUGGAUAACAUUCAACGAGCCUUGGAGUUUCAGUAUUGGUGGCUAUUCUAGUGGUACAUACGCACCUGGUAGAUGCUCGUCUUCGGCAAAGCCAGGUUGUAGCAUGGGAGACUCGGGAAGGGAACCUUAUAUAGUAGCUCAUAAUCAACUUCUGGCUCAUGCAGCAGCAGUUCAAGUGUACAGAGACAAAUACCAGAUAGAGCAAAAAGGGAAGAUCAGCAUUACAAUAGUAAGUAAUUGGAUAAUUCCCUACUCAAAUUCCAAAGAAGACAAGGAUGCUUCCAAGCGUGCAUUGGACUUCAUGUAUGGGUGGUUCAUGGAUCCCUUAACCAAGGGACAUUAUCCACUCAGCAUGAAAACACUGGUUGGUAACAGAUUACCAAAAUUCACAAAAGAGCAGGCAAGGGCUGUAAAAGGAUCAUUUGAUUUCAUUGGCCUUAAUUACUAUUCAGCAAGAUAUGCUCGGAAUACUAAACACAAAAGCAAUACUAAAGAAAGCUACAGUACUGAUUCACAAACUGAUCAAAGAGUGGAAAGAAAUGGAACGUAUAUUGGCCCAAAGGCUGGCUCUUCUUGGCUCUAUAUCUAUCCAAGAGGAAUAGAAGAACUACUGCUAUAUACCAAGAAGACAUAUAACAACCCUACUAUCUACAUCACAGAAAAUGAAACACUUGUAUUGCAGGUGUUGAUGAAAUUAACAAUGAAAAUUUACCUCUUCAAGAAGCCUUAAUUGACAAUACCAGAAUAGAAUUCUACCAGCAACACAUAUUCUAUGUUCAAAGAGCCCUAAAGCAAGGAGUUGACGUGCGAGGAUACUUUGCAUGGUCGCUAUUUGACAACUUCGAGUGGGUGGAUGGUUAUAGUGUUCGGUUUGGUCUUAACUACAUCAACUACAAGGAUGGUCUGAAACGAUAUCCAAAGCGAUCAAGCCAAUGGUUUCAGAAGUUUCUUCAUCACUAAAAUUUAUGUUGUAUAAGCCUAACUCUUUUAUGUAGUACAGUGUCAGCAUAAUGGAUACAUCCUAUUGUGAUAGCUAGCAUUCAUCAGUAUAAUACCCUGAGUAGCUCACUUGUACCUAAUAUAGUAUGGGUAACUUCAUUGUAAUUUCCCGAACAUGCUACUGUUUCCAAUGUAAUAACAUUUAAGUAAGGGAUAACAGAUGUAGUCCGCCUUGAUCGCAUACCAAUUUAAAAA